rnacentral:rRNA from 1 species
GGUUGACCUCGGAUCAGGUAGGGAUACCCGCUGAAAUUAAGCAUAUC